rnacentral:rRNA from 1 species
UAGGGAAUCUUCCACAAUGGACGCAAGUCUGAUGGAGCAACGCCGCGUGAGUGAAGAAGGUUUUCGGAUCGUAAAGCUCUGUUGUUGGUGAAGAAGGAUAGAGGUAGUAACUGGCCUUUAUUUGACGGUAAUCAACCAGAAAGUCACGGCUAACUACGUGCCAGCAGCCGCGGUAAUAUGUAGGUGGCAAGCGUUUUCCGGAUUUAUUGGGCGUAAAGCGAGCGCAGGCGGAAGAAUAAGUCUGAUGUGAAAGCCCUCGGCUUAACCGAGGAACUGCAUCGGAAACUGUUUUUCUUGAGUGCAGAAGAGGAGAGUGGAAUUCCAUGUGUAGCGGUGGAAUGCGUAGAUAUAUGGAAGAACACCAGUGGCGAAGGCGACUCUCUGGUCUGCAACUGACGCUGAGGCUCGAAAGCAUGGGUAGCGAACAGG